rnacentral:rRNA from 1 species
AGUGAACGCUGGCGGUAGGCCUAACACAUGCAAGUCGAACGGCAGCACAGUAAGAGCUUGCUCUUACGGGUGGCGAGUGGCGGACGGGUGAGGAAUACAUCGGAAUCUACUUUUUCGUGGGGGCUAACGUAGGGAAACUUACGCUAAUACCGCAUACGACCUACGGGUGAAAGCAGGGGAUCUUCGGACCUUGCGCGAUUGGAUGAGCCGAUGUCGGAUUAGCUAGUUGGCGGGGUAAAGGCCCACCAAGGCGACGAUCCGUAGCUGGUCUGAGAGGAUGAUCAGCCACACUGGAACUGAGACACGGUCCAGACUCCUACGGGAGGACGCAGUGGGGAAUAUUGGACAAGGGGCGCAAGCCUGAUCCAGCCAUACCGCGUGGGUGAAGAAGGCCUUCGGGUUGUAAAGCCCUUUUGUUGGGAAAGAAAAGCAGCAGGUUAAUACCCCGCUGUUCUGACGGUACCCAAAGAAUAAGCACCGGCUAACUUCGUG